GGGUGCUCUUUUCAGGUGAAAAUCCGUCGGUCUAUCUUCUUUCUUUCUUCUUGGAGUUUUUUCCAGCUGAAAAUAUCCGUUUUAUCCAAAACUUGCCCUUUCCCACUGGAAGCAAUGGCUGUCUGUCUCUCAGCUUCAAAUUCCAUUGCUUACAUAAGAUUCAGCAAUUCAACAACUGAUCCUGUUCCAUCUUCCUCUGUUUUCAAAUCCCUCAAAAUUCCCCGUUUCUGGCCAUGGCAAAAGGUAAAGAUGGGACCUUUGACAGUAUCUCCAAUGGGGUUUGGUACUUGGGCAUGGGGCAAUCAGCUUCUCUGGGGUUAUCAAGAUUCUAUGGACUCUGAACUUCAGAGGACUUUCAAUCUUGCUGUGGAGAAUGGCAUUAACCUAUAUGAUACGGCUGAUUCUUAUGGGACUGGAAGGUUAAAUGGACAAAGUGAGAAACUUCUUGGAAAAUUCAUUCGUGAGUUUCCAGGAGACAAGCAAGUGAAGAAUGACAUUGUGAUUGCAACAAAAUUUGCAGCAUACCCAUGGCGCCUAACACCUGGACAAUUUGUGAAUGCUUGCAAGUCUUCUCUGGAAAGGAUGCAAAUUGGGCAAAUUGGAAUUGGACAAUUGCACUGGUCAACUGCAAAUUAUGCACCUCUGCAGGAACGAGCUCUUUGGGAUGGUUUAGUUGCCAUGUAUGAGAAGGGUUUAGUUCGUGCAGUAGGAGUGAGCAACUACGGACCAAAGCAGCUGCUGAAAAUACACAAAUAUCUUGAUGACCGAGGAGUUCCUUUGCGUUCAGUCCAGAUACAAUUUUCAUUGCUGAGUAUGGGUAGUGAUCAGAUGGAGAUAAAAAAUAUAUGUGAUUCUCUAGGCAUACGGGUCAUAGCAUACAGUCCUCUGGGUCUUGGUAUGCUCACCGGGAAAUAUACGCCCUCUAAUCUUCCACCUGGGCCAAGGGGACUACUCUUUAGACAAAUUCUGCCUGGAUUGGAGCCUCUACUUACCUCACUGGGAGAAAUAGCUCAACGACGUCGGAAAACAAUACCACAGGUAGCUAUCAACUGGUGUAUAUGCAAGGGUACAAUUCCUAUCCCUGGAGUCAAGUCUGUAAAACAAACUGAAGAGAACCUAGGAGCCCUUGGUUGGCAACUCAGUUCUGAUGAAUUGCUCCAAUUAGAAUCCACGGCUCUUGAUUCUCCACAGAAGAUGAUCCAAAACGUAUUUCAGACAAAGUGAUGACUUCUUCACAUAAUGGAUAUGUUUAAGGAAGAUAUACUUGAAGAAGUUAAUAUUCGAGCUGAAGGACACCAAUGUACACAUUUGGAUCAUUUGCUAUUCAGAAUAGCUUUCUCUCAAAUAUAUGCAAGUUCACAGCACGAGGAUGCAAACGCGCAUAGCACCUGCAGCGAAAAUGUGAUUAUAAACUUGAGUUCUGGAUACCUCGCAUAGAAGAUCGUUAGUUUGCCAGAGUUCAAGGGUGAUUCAGUUUUUUCAGGCUACCAAGAGCUCAUCUCUAUCUUG